UCCAUUUAUAUCGAGAGGCUGGGCCA
rnacentral:piRNA from 1 species